AAAGUACUACUUGUUUUCCAGUUUGCAACAGGAUGUCAUAGGACAGUGGGCACCUUGCAGUGAAAUUUUAACCCACACCUGAGAAAUUUGGAGUAAAUGAACCAGUCAGGAUUAAGGUGGGAUUCAGAUAAUGUCUUUGGUUGCAAGAACAAGGAUUACAGUAAUUCAGUGGGUUGCUUGUGAGCCAUAAUAAUUCCACAGACGGAGAAACAUAUGACUAGCUGAUUUUUUUAAACUGUUUUGUACUGUAAUGCCAUUUUGACAUUUAACCCACUAAUGUUGUGACUGCAUACCUCCAUGAUGUGUAAUUUCAGUGGAACGUGGAUCAAAGAUAGGUUUAUUUAAACCCCCUGACAGCUAAAGAAUAUUGUAUUAGUUGGUAAUUUGAACACUAAUUGUUAAUAUUUAAAGGAGUAUUUUUAAUAGAAUGCAUUGUGCAUUCCAGGACCACUAGAAUUUAGCAAAUGUGAAAUGAACCCUUUUUAAGAGUGUUGCACGAUUGCUUAAAAUUAUAUUUUAUAUAUAUAUUAUAUAUAUAUAUAUAUUUUUAUGCAAAUAUUAAACAUCUUUGAUCUGGUUGUCACACUGCAUUUACAAUUUUAGUACUGUACUUUAUUUAAAUGGAAUCACUUUACAUUGGAACAAUAGCUAUUCACUUUCAUUUCCUCUCCCGAAAGACCAGCAGGGGGGAAAAAACCAACCUCCGCUGCUGUUUUCACUUCAGUGCCAUCUCUGAAGGUGUUAAAUUCUUUGUUGUGCUUUGAAAACCUAAUGACUAAGUGACACUUGACUCUGAUACUUUGCUUAUUCUUUCUGAGGGGGGGGAAAGAAAAAGGGAAUUCAGGCUUUUGAAGGAAAUCUGUCUGUGCCUUGCCUGGUCACAGGCACGGUCUGGCACUGGAGUCAGGGGCAGAGAGAAGGAGAGGACUCGUGUCCUGGCAGUGUAUUUUCCCUAUGGAGCGAGUAAGGCACUUCAAAGACAUGUCCAACCUGCAAGUCUUGGAUUUUUGAGGCUGGAUCCAGGUGCAAGUUCUAUGCUGGGGCUGUACCACAUCGCUGACAGUGGGACUCUGUUGAUGCUGGUCUUCUGAAUACUCUGAAACCUCAGCUGUGGGAUGGUGUCCAAAGGAACAACUGGGCUGCUAGGCUGGCAUUACUUGGACUCCUCCAAGGAAGCCAUUUCCUCAGCAGCCCAGUGCUGUCCUGCUCUAGAGAAGUGACUCUGCAGAGACAUUCUCAUUCCCUGCUCCUGGACAAUCCUAGUUCUCAUUUCCCCAGUCCAGAGGCCCUCAGUCCUGUGGGGAGUCGGUAUCCAGGUCAUAAGGGUAGAAGUAUAUAAAUGCCUGCACUAGGUUGGAUUAAAUAUCUGAUGUUACCUAUAAAAGGAAAAACAACUUCUGCAUAAUUUCAUAUAUUCUUUGGGAGUGGUUCUGUGAACAUUCCAGAGAAAUGUUGUGUGUCCAUCUCAGUUUCUUACAGCUUUGUAGAUCCACAUACUGGACAUUUCCCAAUAAUUUUCAUCAUGUGAGACUCUUGGUGAAGGCUCUCUCCCUCUCCCUGCUUAGUACAACUUUUUACCAGUAGCUUUUUAUGGAUGCCACAAUCAUUUAACUCCUGUACUAUGCUACUGGA
ensembl:lncRNA